CCAUGGCGCCCUAGGAGAACGCGGGGACAGAACUCUUGCUGCAGAGUUUCGAGCGCCGCUUCCUGGCGGCGCGCUCACUGCGCUCCUUCCCCUGGCAGAGCUUAGAAGCAAAGUUAAGAGACUCAUCAGAUUCUGAGCUGCGGCGGGAUAUUUUGCAGAAGACUGUGAAGCAUCCUGUGUGUGUGAAGCACCCGCCGUCAGUCAAGUAUGCCCGGUGCUUUCUCUCAGAACUCAUGAAAAAGAUUAGAACGAAAGCAAACAAGCUCUCACUCAGCCUGCCCCCAGCACGAGGCUGUCCACACAGAGCCUUUGGACGAGCUGUACGAGGUGCUGGCGGAGACUUUGAUGGCCAAGGAGUCCACCCAGGGCCACUGGAGCUAUUUGCUGCCCUCGGGAGGCUCGGUCACACUCUCCAAGAGCACAGCCAUCAUCUCCCACGGCACCACAGGCCUGGUCACAUGGGACGCUGCCCUCUACCUUGCAGAAUGGGCCGAGAACCCAGCAGCCUUCACUCACAGGUGACCUCGGGGCGCAGGGCAGGGCACCGAGGCAGGCUUACCCUGGUGCAGUCACAGACACGGUCCCCUUUCCUCCCACCAGGACUGUCCUAAAGCUUGGCAGUGGCGCCGGCCUCACAGGCCUGGCCAUCUGCAAGAUGUGCCGCCCCCGGGCGUACAUCUUCAGCGACUGUCACAGCCGGGUCCUCGAGCAGCUCCGAGGGAAUGUCCUUCUCAAUGGCCUCUCAUUAGAGGCAGACAUCACUGCCAACUUAGACGGCCCCAGGGUGACAGUGGCCCAGCUGGACUGGGACGUCGCGACGGUCUGUCAGCUCUCUGCCGUCCAGCCAGAUGUUGUCAUUGCAGCAGGUAAUGCCCAGCCCCGGGCAUCCUGUGCAGGCGGUGUCCUUGCAGCUCUACCCAGCUCUUGGCUCUGGGAAAAGGGAACAAUGGAUGCUGUCAGGCAUGGACAUGAUGGGGCUUCCAGAAGAGUUACUCUGGGCCUCCAGGCUGACAUCAAAGGACAGGGGUGCCUCUUAAGGUGACCUUCAAGCCACAGCCCUCUUGCUGGAGACAGGCAUACUCCCGUUCCAGUUGUCACCACAUGGCUCUGUCCCAGAGCCAUGCCCUGUGUCCUUCAGAGACCACCGGAGGAAAACAACCACUUCUGGGAUGAGGACAGGGCACUUGAGAGAAGGUGGUGUUUGGCUGGGCCACCGAAAACCCCUCGCCCCUGCCAGCACACUCAGUCCCCUCUCUGAUGGAACAGAGCUCUGCCUGUGGUCCUGGGUCCCAGCCCUGAAAACCACAGGUCCAGCGGUGGCCAGGGACACAGGCCCACCCCUGCAAGCCAGCAGACAAAUCAGCGGAUACCUGAAACACGAAGUUCAUGGCAGAUUCAGGCUUUGUGUCAUUCAAAGCCCUCUAGAUAGGCCGAAAACCAGAGCUGGUUUUUUAAGGAACACCAGUGAGUCUGGACAUUUUUUUCUUUUGCUUCGGUCUUUUGCAGCUUUCUCUAAGGGUUCUCCUUUUUCACCGUAGUAAUUGCCUUUCCAUCUAAUGGCCCAAAUGUUUAAAUGGCAUCUAAUAGUCUCAUAUGACCGCUGCCUCUCUGGCCUCGCCCUGCUGCUGUGGUCAGCAUGACCUGGAACUUUCCACUUGUCCCUUUCAGUAACCUGAAGAUUUCACCGUAGACGUGCUGUAUUGCCCAGAAGCCAUCGUGUCGCUAGUCGGGGUCCUGCGGAGGCUGGCUGCCUGCCGGGAGCACCAGCGGGCUCCUGAGGUCUACGUGGCCUUUACCGUCCACAACCCACAGACGUGCCAGCUGUUCACCACUGAGCUAGUUGAGUCCCCACGCCCACCCGGGCCUGCAUGGUCCCCGAGCUGUCCCUGCAGGACUCCAGUGGAAGUGAAAGAACUGGGCGCCGGCGUAAAGCUAGCAUGCCCCACACUCCCACACCAUGCGGGGAACUCGGGCAGAGGCCGGCCAGGCCAGGAUCAGAUGGGAAGUGGAAGCUUGUCAUGACCAGAAACUGUUUCCCUACAAAGAGCACUUGGAGAUGGCAAUGCUGAACCUAAUACUGUAGGACUCACACGCGACUUCAACGGGAUUGUGAGGAUCAAGUCACUCUCAUGGGAAGAAUUUUUACAUGGGAAAGCGGAUAAAACUUUCAUUGGACUGGAAUGUUUGGAGAAUAUUAAUUUCCAAAUCAGGAACCACAAACUGCCCUCUAAUAAGACAUCGGCUAUCUAAGCGUGUGGGUGCCCCCUUUCUGCCAGCAGUUCUGGUUCUUAAGAAAAUCACCAUAAAUCAGACAUGAAAAUUCUGGCUCUAAAAAUAGCAUUUUCUUUGUGCAAAUAAAAACGUGUGUAUCAAGUAUGAUGUUCCCCCAACGUGGACACACCCGGUUCCUCACAAAGCCAAGCCCGCUGCAGCUGCCACAUCCCUGGGCUUACUGUGCAGCAGGUGCUUUUUUCAAGACAGGAAUCAAAAUAUUAGGAACACGGCAGAAAGGCGACACCUGGAGACCAAACGCAGGAUGAGGAGUACUGCAGAGGUCACAGGGAAGUCACAGAACAGUAGUACGCUAGCAGGGGCAUGGGGCGUGAAGAACAGAAGAAGAGAGGAAGUGUUUCCAAGCCUCCAAAAAAGAAAUCAGAGCCAACCACAGCUUCCCGGGUCACAGAAGCAAUUCACUCACCAGGCGGCACCACUGCCGUCAUUUCAGCUUCUGGCCACUGGGAGGCGCUGCUUGAAAGGGUUUGCCCUGAGACUCCAAGAAGAAGCUGCGGGAAGGACAGCAGGGGCCCUGGGGUUUUAGCCUCUGGCCCAGGAGUUAUGUGUCCAUAACCAAAGGGAGCACAGUCUGCACCCAGCUCUCAUCCCAUCGGAGCUGCUGCGACUCCCGCAGGUUCUUCCGGAACAGGUUUAGCUUGCCUGCAGGAUCAGGAAAGUUUGAGAAAAGCAUCUGCAUAAUACUAAAGAGCAGAGCUUACCUCAUUGCCUGUCCCCACCGCAUCCCAGGUCACCACCUGGCUGACCCCAGGUGCCCGACCCAACAACAACCCCUACCAAGUUCUUAACUCCCUCACUUGGACUCGAGACUCUUCACGCCCCAGCAGCGCUCCGCCUCCAACUUGACAUCACGCUUUCUGGGAACUUCCCCGCAUGUCCCACUUUCCCACACUUGGUGUCCUGGGGCACCUCCCGGCCUCUUCAUGCUGUAUGCUCCCCUGCGAGCACCCUCCUCUUGGCCUCUGGCCAAGUCCCACCCAUCUGUGGGUAACAAGGGGGUGUCGGUGUUCUUUUCAGCCUUGCUAAACUGUCUGAAUCAAGGAUCACAAACUACAGCCUGCAGGCCAAAUCCAGCCCACAGCCUGUGUUUGUAAAUAAAGAUUUAUUGGAACAAAGCCACA
rnacentral:lncRNA from 1 species